CCUACGGGUGACAGCAGUGAGGAAUAUUUGUCAAUGGACGCAAGUCUGAACCAGCCAUGCCGCGUGCAGGAAGACUGCUCUAUGAGUUGUAAACUGCUUUUGUACGAGGGUAAACGCAGAUACGCGUAUCUGUCUGAAAGUAUCGUACGAAUAAGGAUCGGCUAACUCCGUACCAGCAGCCGCGGUAAUACGGAGGAUUCAAGCGUUAUCCGGAUUUAUUGGGUUUAAAGGGUGAGUAGGCGGUCGGAUAAGUUAGUGGUGAAAGCCCGAGGCUCAACUUCGGAAUUGCCUCUGAUACUGUGCGGCUAGAGAGUAGUAGCGGUAGGCGGAAUGUAUGGUGUAGCGGUGAAAUGCUUAGAGAUCAUACAGAACACCGAUUGCGAAGGCAGCUUACCAAGCUACUUCUGACGUUGAGGCACGAAAGCGUGGGGAGCAAACAGGAUUAGAUACCCGGGUAGUC
rnacentral:rRNA from 1 species